UGGGGCUGAAUGGUGCCACCUGGGUUCUGUGCCUGUCCAGGUGUAGGGGCUCAACUCAGGAGCAGUUCUGGCUCCCUGGGGGCUCCUAGGCACCCCCAGCCCUCCCUUCACACUCUCUUCUGGCAGGACCAUGAGGAAUGUCAGGACAAGAAGAACCUAGCAGGAAUCUCUAGAAGGAGUCCACGGCACCCCAGAACCUGGUCACAACCUAAGGAUCUGCCAAUAAGCUUCCCUUUCUUGAGAACAUGGAAUUGAGAGAGACUGUGAGCUGUUAUCAACACAGGAGUGUAACAUAUCACGUAAACUUGGGAGCCACAAAGAGGAAGAGGCGGUAAGCAUAGUCCACCUGUGGACCAGAGACAGAAAACAGCCAGCAGAGGGAAGGAGGAUGGAAUAGGACCACAAAGAAAAUCAGAGAUAAGGAAGAAUUCAAAUGGAUAUACUUCAAUAUCCUUAAAAUUAUCUCUUUUUGCUCAAAUUAGUGUUCACUGAUUAUGUAACUUGCAACCAAAGGGUCUUAACUCACCCAUAAAACAUGUAACAAACCAAC
rnacentral:lncRNA from 1 species